CUGCACGAAACCCUUUUUUACCGAGAGGUACUCGCGUUGCUGCUCUGCCCCCGCAGCCGGCCGACUCGCGGUUGCUGCUGCCAGCCUAGCUCGGCCCCGCAGCACGCCUUACGGCUGCCUGAAACUAUUUCUCACGGAAAAGCGACAGAGGAUCUGAGCGCCAGGAGAGCUACCGGUGACACUUCUUCUGUCGGGACACGGGAAGAUGAAGCUGCGAAGUGUCAAAACGCGGGUGUCAAACUCCACCGCCCCCGGACCUGCAUCACGACGAGAAUGAGGAAGAGCGUUGUUACCUGUUUACUGCUUGUAAGCAAAUCAAGAAAAAGAAACCUCAAGUAAUCCUUCAAGCAAAAAUGGAACUGGAGACUACUCGCCCCCUGCACAGGAGUUAGAUCUUCAUAAAGUAUCGUAAGCAUCGACGUCAACAUUCAUUGCACAGUUUCGUAUUUGAAACAAGAACUUGCUGUAGGAAAAAAAUCUAGGAGAUCAAACAACUAACUUCAUGAACCUCUUGCUUUUAAUGAAUACAGGUUGCAG